rnacentral:misc_RNA from 1 species
GAUGAAGAACGCAGCGAAAUGCGAUACUUGGUGUGAAUUGCAGAAUCCCGUGAACCAUCGAGUCUUUGAACGCAAGUUGCGCCUCAAGCCAUUAGGUUGAGGGCACGUCUGCCUGGGCGUCACAUAUCGUUGCCUGAUGCCAGUUUCCUCGUGAUGGGUGACUGUGCAGGGCGAAUGAUGGCUUCCCGUGAGCAUUGUUGCCUCAUGGUUGGUUGAAAAUUGAGUCCUUGGUAGGGAGCGCCGUGAUAGAUGGUGGUUGAGUGACGAACGAGACCCAAUCAUGUGAGACCCCUACCGAAUUUGGCCUUCAUGACCCACAUGCGUCUUUGGAACGCUCAUGACGAGACCUCAGGUCAGGCGGGGCUACCCGCUGAGUUUAAGCAUAUCCAAUAAGCGGAGGA